UACGUAGGGUGCGAGCGUUGUCCGGAUUUAUUGGGCGUAAAGAGCUCGUAGGCGGUUUGUCGCGUCGGCCGUGAAAUCUCCACGCUUAACGUGGAGCGUGCGGUCGAUACGGGCAGACUCGAGUCCGGAAGAGGAGUGUGGAAUUCCUGGUGUAGCGGUGAAAUGCGUAGAUAUCUGGAGGAACACCGGUGGCGAAGGCGGCAUCCUGGACCGGCAUUGACGCUGAGGCGCGAAAGCCAGGGGAGCAAACGGG
rnacentral:rRNA from 1 species